rnacentral:rRNA from 1 species
AGAACCCUUCGCACCAAGAGUUGACCUCGGAUCAGGUAGGAAUACCCGCUGAACUUAAGCAUAUCAAUAAGCGGAGGAAAAGAAACCAACAGGGAUUGCCCCAGUAACGGCGAGUGAAGCGGCAACAGCUCAAAUUUGAAAUCUGGCCCCCUCCGCGGGGGUCCGAGUUGUAAUUUGCAGAGGAUGCUUCUGGCGCGGCGCCUUCCGAGUUCCCUGGAACGGGACGCCACAGAGGGUGAGAGCCCCGUCCGGUCGGACGCCCAGCCUAUGUGAAGCACCUUCGACGAGUCGGGUAGUUUGGGAAUGCUGCCCUAAAUGGGAGGUAUAUGUCUUCUAAAGCUAAAUACCGGCCAGAGACCGAUAGCGCACAAGUAGAGUGAUCGAAAGAUGAAAAGCACUUUGAAAAGAGGGUUAAACAGUACGUGAAAUUGUUGAAAGGGAAGCGCUCAUGACCAGACUUGGGCCCGGGGGAUCACCCGGCGUUCUUUCGCCGGGGCACUUCGCCGGCUGCCCAGGCCAGCAUCAGUUCGCGGCGGGGGACAAAGGCUUCGGGAACGUGGCUCCCUACGGGGAGUGUUAUAGCCCGCUGCGCAAUGCCCUGCCGCGGACUGAGGUUCGCGCUUCCGCAAG